rnacentral:ncRNA from 1 species
AUAAAUGUCAUGAAGGGGUAAAGUAGAUUUAAUUAGUCUCCUCAGCGAACCAGGGGCGGUGGGAGCCUGGUGAGAACGGUUAAAUUGAAGUUCACCCCGGAACUGCAGGCUGAAUGCUCAUAGAGUCUAGUAGGCCGGGCCGGAGACUUCCGCCGUUAAAAGGAAGGGGGUAUCGGAAAAAGUUUUUUUCCCGUACCUUGAAAGAGUGACUUCGGAUCAAUAUCCGGGGUAAAUAGGGUGGUACCGCGAGGCCAUUACAUCCCGUCCCUUAG